rnacentral:tRNA from 1 species
GGCCCCAGGGUGUAACACAUCAGAUUGCAAAUCUGAAGACGCAGACUAAGACCUGCUGGGGCUU